UGCUGGUCUCCCCGCGGCGCGAAAUUGUGAACCCGUCAGGCCCGGAAGGGAGCAGCGGCAGCAGUGGAUGCGGGUGCCGGGAUCGGAACAGUAUGG
rnacentral:SRP_RNA from 1 species